rnacentral:lncRNA from 1 species
GCUCUGGCCCCCGCGGGUCGCUGACUUCCUCCGGCCUCCGCCCCUAGCCGCUACCGCCCCCUGGCAGCCGUCUCCAUGGUGCACACCAGACGCCGGAAGCCACCCGGCGGCGGUGGAGGGAGGCAGGGACCCGGCGCAUGAGGCAAGUUACAGUUCUCAGAAUCCAAGUGGAAUCUAACGCUAUGAAACAAUGCCAAGAGAAAAGCAAGGAAAACGAAAAACUAAAGGAGCACCCCAGUCCAUUGUUUCCAUUCUUCAAAAGUUCCUGAAAACAUACGAGAAGCGUUGUGUACAGACUCAGACGUCUGUGUGUCCAGCCAUCAAAAGGGACUUGAAAGCCAGCAUCAACCAUGAACGGAUUCUCAGGAAGUUUGUACUGGUAAGACCUGAUGACUCCCCGCCAGGCAUCCUACCAAUUUCCUUGGAACCUUUGCUCAUGACUGUUCGGGAUGAGUGUUACAUGCUGGGGAGAGAGAUCUGCAUCUGGGGCUUUCAACUGAGCAACCCAGAGAUCGCCAGACUUGCUUUGCUUCUAGAAUCGAAGGGGCACACCCGCUGCCCGUUUACCACCCUGGAACUCAUUGACUGCAAGAUGGAUCCAUGGUCUCUGGGGAGGCUUGGGCAGGCUUUGCAUCUCAGCAGUCUGCAUGUUCUUGUCCUCGACUACUGCAGAUUUACACAUGAAGAAAUUGAGAGUAUUUUCUCAGGCCUGGAGAACAACCAAAGGCUUCAGAGCCUCAGUCUGCGCUACUGUGGUCUGGGGCCACAGAAUGGACCGAGGCUGGGCUCCAUCGUAUGCCACAGUGCCAUUCGGUGAGAGGGUCCCCUGCUCCCCGCCACCCCCGCCC